GUUUUUGACAAUAUAAAAAAUCAAAUGAAAUAUAGGACGAGUCGCUAGGAGUCACCCCACCCCUCCUGUUUUAGAAUUUAAAAAUGGUCGAGAUCCCCACCCCUAAACCAUAUAUAUUCAUGUAUGGGACAAUAUAACAAAUCAGAUGAAAUAUAGGGGAGUCCUUUGGGUCACCCCACCCCCUCCUGUUUGAGAAUUUGAAACCCAUUGAGAUCGCCACCCCUUAACCAUAUAUAUUCAUGUACGGGACAAUACAACAAUUCAAAUGAAAGAUAGGGGAGUCCCUGAGGUCACUGUUCACCCUCCUGUUUGAGAACUUGGAAAUGGUCAAGAUCCUUACCCC
rnacentral:lncRNA from 1 species